rnacentral:rRNA from 1 species
GACGAACGCUGGCGGCGUGCUUAACACAUGCAAGUCGAACGCUGAAGCCCAGCUUGCUGGGUGGAUGAGUGGCGAACGGGUGAGUAACACGUGAGUAACCUGCCCCCUUCUUUGGGAUAACGCCCGGAAACGGGUGCUAAUACUGGAUAUUCACUGGCCUUCGCAUGGGGGUUGGUGGAAAGGUUUUUUCUGGUGGGGGAUGGGCUCGCGGCCUAUCAGCUUGUUGGUGGGGUGAUGGCCUACCAAGGCUUUGACGGGUAGCCGGCCUGAGAGGGUGACCGGUCACAUUGGGACUGAGAUACGGCCCAGACUCCUACGGGAGGCAGCAGUGGGGAAUAUUGCACAAUGGGCGAAAGCCUGAUGCAGCGACGCCGCGUGAGGGAUGACGGCCUUCGGGUUGUAAACCUCUUUCGCUCAUGGUCAAGCCGCAGCUUUGGGUUGUGGUGAGGGUAGUGGGUAAAGAAGCGCCGGCUAACUACGUGCCAGCAGCCGCGGUAAUACGUAGGGCGCGAGCGUUGUCCGGAAUUAUUGGGCGUAAAGGGCUUGUAGGCGGUUGGUCGCGUCUGCCGUGAAAUCCUCUGGCUUAACUGGGGGCGUGCGGUGGGUACGGGCUGACUUGAGUGCGGUAGGGGAGACUGGAACUCCUGGUGUAGCGGUGGAAUGCGCAUAUAUCAGGAAGAACACCGGUGGCGAAGGCGGGUCUCUGGGCCGUUACUGACGCUGAGGAGCGAAAGCGUGGGGAGCGAACAGG